UACGGAGGUGGCAAGCGUUGUUCGGAAUUACUGGGCGUAAAGGGUGCGUAGGCGGGCUAUUAAGUCAGUGGUGAAAUCCUGCAGCUUAACUGCAGAACUGCCGUUGAUACUGAUAGUCUUGAGUUUGGUUAAGGUAGGCGGAAUGUGUAAUGUAGCGGUGAAAUGCAUAGAUAUCACGAGGAACUCCGAUUGCGCAGGCAGCUUACUAAACUACUACUGACGCUCAGGCACGAAGGCGUGGGGAUCAAACAGGAUUA
rnacentral:rRNA from 1 species